AGUUGAGUGCGAGAGAAUUUCGACCAUAUAGAGCGCGCAAUGCGAAAACCGUUGAGCGUCAAAUGAUGAGAAAAAGAAUGAAAAAUGACAUCGAUCGAAGUCGACUCGAACCCAGCUUCCUCGGAUAUAGCUGGUCGUCCGGAAAAAGUGCAAAAAUCUUCCGGAUUCACCAGAUCAAAGAACUUUAUGAAAAAGAUAGUUCGAAUAUUAGAAGACGACAGAUUAGAGGAUGUCGAGCAGGAGCUAAACGACCAAAAUUCCAGUCAAAUUGGAGAGCAUUUAUGUCUCAAGAAAGUUCUCAACAUAACCUUCAUAACCACUGGAAUUGUUCUCUUCGUGUCUGUUGUAAUAGUUAUAAUCUAUACGGCUGUCGGUAAAUAUGCAAAUUACCCUUGUAAGGCUUUAAUACGCAUGAAUUGUUUCGUAGAGCGUCUAAUUUCCUAUAUAUGUAAUCAAUUAGCCUAUAAUCAAUAUGAGCGUAAUUAGCAUAUCUGAACGCGAUAAAGAUUGAUACGGAUAUUGGCAGAGUGGACGACUCGCGAUAGCAAGAGUUUUUUUGUUUCAAGUAUCUAGAACAAAAGGGAGAACGAGUAUGAAUGACUAGUAUAAGAGACCGGAAAGUAGAACUACGACUAUGGGCGUGUGUCGAAGUAGGAAUAGGAGGCGGUGUAGGAGGGAGAGGAAAGAAGCUAAGAAGGGGAGUGGCAAGCUAAAGAGAGAGAGAGACAGAGAGAGAGAGACAGAGAGAGAGGGGGGGGAGGGGGGAGGGGACGGGCGAUAUUCCGAUGGCAGAUGUGAAUGAAAACAAUAGUUUUGAACACAAUAAGUUGAAAUGAGUUAGAAAGCGAACAAGCUGUAGAAUAGACGCACGUGUUGCAGUUAACAAUUCGAUGUUAACUCGGGGUUGCUUUAUUAUUUUUUAUUUUUUUUUUUUCAUUUUUUUUUCUCUCUCUCUCUCUCUCUCUGUCUCUUUCUCUCCUUUUAUUUCAUUUUUCAUAUUCUUUACCGAGUUAAAAAAAAGCGUCUAACGCAACAAAGACAGAUAUCAAGCGACCUAAUGAGAAAUCGCCGUCGAGAAUUCGAAAUGAGCAAAAGGCCGAAAUUAAGCGAACGAGUAUGCAAAUGUGGCUAAAGCCUCGACUGUCGCAUUUGUAUAAAUAUUGAGAGGCAGAUUAAUUGGUGAAGGGCAUAUACACAUCUGAAAUCCGAAGGGAUAUAAUCUAGAACGUUUCAUAAUGUCUAUAUAUAAAAAAUAUAUGGAUAUAGGCGGCUGUUUAUAUAAUUGUAUUUAUAUUUAUAUAAUUGUAAAACGUUGUUAUGUAACAUUAUAGACGCCGUUUAAUUCUUUAGCAGAACCGUCUAUAUAAGAGAUUAGUCAGCAAAAGUAAUGAGAUUAAGGCUGACGGCAAAAAAAUAAAAAAAAAAAGCGGACAAGUGCAUUGCUGCAGUAAAGUUUGCUGUUGCCGUUGACAGUUAUCUGCUGUCCCGCUUUUAUAUUCAAUCGAGUUGCCCGCUAUAAUUUCAAUUGCGCUAUAUAAUUUUGUCCACAAUUUUUACGCUUUUCUCCUCUUUUAAGCCUAUAAUAAAAAAUGGAUAUUUCCAUUUAAUUACCAGCUGUAGGGAUAAAGAGAGAGAAAGAGAGAGGGAUAAGGCAAGGGUGGAAGUCGGUGUGAGUAAGAGCGAUAUACGUAGGAAUAAGGCAUGGAAAAGUGCAAUUAAAGAAAAAAACGAAGAAAAUAUGGACGUUUAUCCAAAGUUGACCAGUUUUUUAUAUUUCCCCAGUUGCGCAUAGUCCUUCCUUAAAUUAGAAGUAGGCGAUGGGCGGUCCGCCUCCCCAUUUUCCCGCAAGAGGUUGUAUUAAUAAAUUAUAAAGCGACCUAUAAGUGAUAGUUGUAUCGUUCUUAAAAUGCAUUAGCCAUUUGCAAUGGGUCAUCGAAUGCAACUUGAUGGAAUUAUUUAAACAUGUAAUAUCUUAUUAGAUAGAGUGAGUUAGGCUUUAUAAGUAAAUGAUAUUUGUAUUUAAAACAAUACGCAUAUUGGAGGAGGAGGAGGAGGAGGAGGAGGAGGAGGACGAGGGUUGGUGGUAGUUUAACCGACCAAUCUUUCAAUAGUUGAACAGACACAAGCAAAAAGAAUAAAUGUAUAUUGUAUAUAUCUUUACAGACUAUAUAUAUUGUAUAGUAUAUAUUUAUUAAGCUGGUUAUGUACAUAAGUAUUUCAACUCACGCUACUGCAAUAAAUUUGCGGCUGACAUGAAUAGUCCAUAUUUUUUGCGUUUAUUCGUCGUCCGUAAAAAGUAAUUCUUUACAAGUUAAUUACGCUUGUAUGGUGUAUAUAUAUAUAUAUAUAUAUAAAUAUAUAGUUCUUUCUCUCUCUCUUUCUCUCUCUCCCUCUUUUAACAUAGAUAUUGUCUUAGAGGGCAUGAUUCUAUUUACCCUUUUUCAGUAUAAAAGAAAGAAUCAAACUAGUUUGGUCCAAUAAACACUUUCGGUGAGCCUCUUUUAUCUUAAAAUAAACAAACAUAAAUCUUUCUUUCCAAGUGUUUCUCUUUUUCAUAUUUCUUGCAUUUUGUUUGUCUCCUUCUUAUGUUUGUUUGUUUAUUUGUUUGUUUUUUUUUUAAAAAAAACAAGGAGACAAACAAAAUAAUGAACAGGGAAACAAACUAAACAAAUAAGUAAAUAAAAAAACAAUUUGAAAGAAAGACUAUUCGAAAUCCUUUUAUUUAAAUUCCUCGGUGAGUUGUGGCUGGUUUUCUACUAAAUUUAAUUUGUGUAUAAAUACUAUAUAUCUGUAUUCAGGGAAGCCCGGAUUGGGAACCGCAGAUUUCGUGAUACAAACAGCCGAUAGUCAAUCAAUGGAGCCAACAGCGCAAUUAAACGCCAUUCAAACGACUACUGCUGAUGAUGAAACUACGCCUAUGUAUACUUUUAGUUUAUCGCACGAGGAGGAGAAAUUCGAUAAGAAUUAUCCUGCCAUCUCUUUUGAGGUACAACCAAUCGCUUUCCAUCUCAGAUCAUCUAUAAGAAAAUUACGUCAUCAUUUUAAAUCUCAUCCGAACCAUCGAAGGCAAAGGUUCUUUCCAAUUUUUUAAAAGAUUAAACGCCAUCACAUUUUCUCUCCCGAUAUCUUUCCCUAUCUCUAUAUCUUUCUUAUAUACUGUGUACUGUAUCCAGGGUGUAUAUAUAUAUAUAUAUAUCUUUAUAUCUUAAGUACCUUAUUUAUUAUCUAUUAUAAUAUACACUAUACACUGUACACUAUGCAGUAUAUACAAUAUAUAUAUAUAUAUAUAUAUAUAUUUACACUAUAAGACUAUAUGCAAACAAUGAUAAUACGCUGUUAUAUACACAAAUAACAGUCGUAUAAGCUUUUAUUUCCCUUCUAUACAGUAUACUGUAAUAGGAAUAUGUUUAUGUUUAUUUAUUUGUUUUUUCUCCUCUCUGUUCUUCACUUUAUCAUUUCUUUAUCUCUCUAUCUCUAUCUCUCUCGCUCUCUUCCUCUUCCUCUUUCUCUCUUCUCUUCUUUUUCUCUCACUCAUCUCGCUUUCUCUCUCUUUCCAUCUUCCACGCGAAAGAGAAGACACAGAAAUGCAAUUGGAACAAAACCACGAAGAGGAGGAGCAGAAAGAAAAGGAAGAGGAAAGGGAAGGGAAGAAAGAGAAACUUAACGGCUGUUUUGUUUUGAACUUUCUUCUCUAAUUCCUUAAACUUUUUCCCUCCAAGUCUUUGCAUGAAAACGCUGUGCCUUUUUGAAUUUUAUGCAUUAAUUUUACUGUGCUGUCUCUUUCAAAAUAUAAUAUUUUACACCUUUUUGCUUCUGAUAACCACCAUCAUUGAGUAAUCACAAUAGCAGUAGCAAAUAUACUCUAUAUCUAUAAUAGUGUUACAAAUUUCAGUAGUCCCAUUACUGUUGUAACAACUGUUACAACUUGUUAGUUGUAUCCUCUACUCUUGUUACCUAUUAUAUAGCGCAACUAAUUGUCAUAUAUAGCCAAAUCUGGAGAGGGUGUAGAGGUGGUUUAAGGAUUUUCCGGUAUCACUCUUCCAAUAUGCUUCUUAAAGUGUGCCAUCUGGAAAUGUCAAUUUAAAGCAUUUACACCUUUUUUCCCCCCAACUGCAAUGGCUCUUUAACUCACAGAUUUCUAAUGUAGAUAAUGGCGAUGAUGACGAUAAAGGUACUUGACUGAUUUAUUGCUACUUUUAAAGAGAGAAACAAACAUUUAAUCAGCUGGAACAAUUAGAGUAUUUUGUCUAUUUGAGUAGGAAAGUUUUGAGAGAACAUGCGAUUUGUUGAUCAGAUUUCUUCAAUACAUACUCUCACAUAAGAAU
rnacentral:misc_RNA from 1 species